AACUUAUGAAAGGAUAGCACAGACACCUUAGACAUGAAUGUUAUUGGGGUUUUAUGCCUAAUAUGCUGCUGGAAGGUUAUUCAUUCCAGUCCAGUGUUGACCCCAUCUUCUAUGUCAGAGCAGAAGAAACCUGGAGAAACUCUCAGCAUUACAUGCCGAGGUUCUGGUUACACUUUUUCCUGUUGUCACAUUGGCUGGGCUCGCCAAGCACCUGGCAAAAGACUGGAAUAUUUGGGUUACACUGGAAGCAGCACUUACGCCGAAAGCGUGAAAGGACGCCUCACUCUCAAGCUGGAUAACUCCAACAGCCAGUCUUCCAUGCAGCUCACUAACUUAAAAUUAGAAGACACUGCCACAUAUUACUGUGCCCGAGAGUCACAGUGCUGCAGCACAUACAACUGUUAA